UAAUUUUUGUUUCUUAUUUUAAAAGCUCACAUUGAUCUCAUAUCACUGCGAUGUAACUGAACAUAAGUGUGUGUUGUGAUCCGUAACAUUUAAAUAGCUCAUUACAUAAGUUUAUCUGAUGCGUUUGAACAUUUUCCACACUGUUGUACUGUGAAAAUCGCUUGAAAGUGAGUUUGAGGUAGGGUGUUUUCAGUAGGAAUCACCGAUUGUGUCAAUGGUAAGGAUUUGCUGUACACUUGCUCUUGCUUAACCACAGUGCUUUAUGCGACGGCAUGCUGUUAUGUAGCUUUCAUUACGCCACCGACUAGUACUUCAGUAAUUAUAACAUUAGAACCACUGUUAUUAUCCUUAGGUACUCUAACGAAGUUAAUCAUUGAAUUAAAUUGUAAUUCCAGUGAAUGGUGGGGGUUUGUUGUGCUGUUCUUCAUUUAUGCUUCGGUUGGCUUUGACCUUUUUAUUGAAGUCUUCAUUAGCGAAAACUAAUAGGCAGUUAUUGUGCAAAUUAAUAUAUGUAGUGGCAGUUUUCUCACGGUCUUGACAUUUUCAGAGCCACAGAUGAAUCACCCUGUAAUGCAUCUAAGAAACUUUUUUUUUUCUCCUCCCUGUUCAUUUUUUUUCUUUCUUUUUUUAAAGACAUAAUCAAGUUAAGUUGAAGUUGUGACACCGGGGCUAUGUUCAGAAUAAUAAAACAAACAUUGUGGAACACA